CGCCUCUUGAAUAAAUAUAAGAGGUCCAGCCUGCCCAGUGACUCUGUUCAACGGCCGCGGUAUCCUAACCGUGCGAAGGUAGCGUAAUCACUUGUUCUUUAAAUGAGGACUAGUAUGAAUGGCACCACGAAGGUUAUACUGUCUCCUCUCUCUAAUCAGUGAAACUAAUCUCCCCGUGAAGAAGCGGGAAUAAACAUAUAAGACGAGAAGACCCUAUGGAGCUUUAAACUAUGUAACACUUGCACCACCACAGCACAAAUUUCAGAAAAAUCUCUCCAACGCAUGCAAGCUUAUUACCAGUUUUAGGUUGGGGUGACCGCGGAGCAAAAAACAACCUCCACAUUGAAAGGAACUUACUCCUUAGCCAAGAGCCACACCUCCACGCACCAUUAUAAUGACAUUAAUUGACCCAAUAUUUUGAUCAACGAACCAAGUUACCCUAGGGAUAACAGCGCAAUCCAUUUCAAGAGCUCCUAUCGACAAAUGGGUUUACGACCUCGAUGUUGGAUCAGGGUAUCCCGGUGGUGCAGCCGCUACCAAAGGUUCGUUUGUUCAACGAUUAAA
rnacentral:rRNA from 1 species